rnacentral:rRNA from 1 species
UACAGAAAAUGUAAAUGAAUUUUAUUGGUAAAUAAUUAGAUGUUUUAUAUAUAAAUUAAUUUAAUAUUUUUUAGGUGAAAUUUAAAAUAUUAUUAUAUUUUAUAAUAAAUAUUUUGUUAUUAUGAAAUUUUUAUUUAAACUAGGAUUAGAUACCCUAUUAUUUUAAAUGUAAAUUAAAAUUCCAAAGAAGUAUUAGUUAUGUUCUUGAAAUUUAAAAAAUUUGGCGGUAUUUUAGUCUAUUCAGAGGAACCUGUUCUAUAAUCGAUAGUCCACGAUUUACUUUACUUAAUUUUAAAAAUUUGUAUAUCGUCGUUUAUAAAUGAUUUUAUAAGAAUAAAAAUUUUUAGAAUUUUAAAUUAAUAAAAAUGUCAGAUCAAGGUGCAGUUUAUAGUUAAGAAGAAAUGGGUUACAAUAAAUUUAUUUAAACGAAUUAAUGUAUUUAAAGUUAUUAUAAAGGUGGAUUUGAUAGUAAUAAAAUUAAAUUAAAUUUUAUGAUUUUAGCUCUAAAAUAUGUACAUAUCGCCCGUCGCUCUUAUAAUAAAAUAAG